rnacentral:rRNA from 1 species
CUUACUGUCAUUUAGAGAACAAGUGUCAACCGAGUAACUACCGGUGGCUUGAUAGUAUCUGAAGAGGAAGAGACGGCUAACUCUGUGC